UACAGAGGGGGGCAAGCGUUGUUCGGAAUUACUGGGCGUAAAGGGCGCGUAGGCGGCCUGCUAAGUCGAACGUGAAAUCCCUGGGCUCAACCCCAGGAACUGCGUCCGAUACUGGUUGGCUUGAAUCCGGGAGAGGGAUGUGGAAUUCCAGGUGUAGCGGUGAAAUGCGUAGAUAUCUGGAGGAACACCGGUGGCGAAGGCGACAUCCUGGACCGGUAUUGACGCUGAGGCGCGAAAGCCAGGGGAGCAAACGGG
rnacentral:rRNA from 1 species